rnacentral:rRNA from 1 species
UACAGAGAUGGCAAGCGUUACUCGGAUUUAUUGGGUGUAAAGGGCAGGUAGGCUUCCCGUUAAGUUAGACGUGAAAUCCUAAGGCUUAACCUUAGAACUGCAUCUAAAACUGGCGGGAUUGAGGACAGAAGAGAAAAGCGGAAUUCCCGGUGUAAGGGUGAAAUCUGUAGAGAUCGGGAGGAACACCAGUGGCGAAAGCGGCUUUUUAGUCUGUCCCUGACGCUAAACUGCGAAAGCUCGGGGAG